UUUAUCAGACACUUCUCGAGGAGGAAUGUGACUGAUGCACAAGAUUUGUGUCUGGAGAGCAUAGACGGCUCCAGCAGUGGGGAGGAAGACUCGGCAGCUCUCAAGAAGCAUCCCUUCCACGGACAUCAGGGAAGCAGCGAGGGAAGAAAUAUUUAAGUUGGAAGAAAAGGAGGAACUAGGAACAAGCAGCACAGCAGGACAGUCUGACCUCAUCCCAGAAGCUCCAGAUUCGCCUGAGGUCCUCAGAGAUGGCGAGCCACGAGAUGCCUCGGCCUAGGUAUGCAGCUUCGGUGGGGACUCAGAGGCUGGAAAGGCAUGAACUGGAUGCACCUGGACAGAAGGAGAAGAAACACGCCUGGAGGAUCUGUUCCCCUGGACGUGACAUGGCAGGCCUCCCCAACAAAAGACCUUUGUGCUUCUCACAAGCAGCAUGGAUCCCAGAGGAGAUGACAAAGGGACCCUCGGAGAUGGACACCACACCCAGAGCGGGGGGUCCUCAUCACUGCUGAUGAUGGACACUCUGAAAAGGAAGCAAUGAUACAGGCUGUCAGGCAUGCAUUUUUGGGGUGAGACUGGCCACCUGGAACUGCGUUCAGCAAGCAGCCCUCCUGGCUUUCCGCCUGUCUGCUGGAGGGGCUGUUCCUCCUCCAGCUCUCCAGUCCUCCCCUGGGGGGACCUGUCCUCGCAGUGAGCGGCGGCCUGGCUCCCGUGGUCGAGGGCCAACCUGUUUGCAGGGUGGCCACUAAACGCCUCCCGUCUGGGACACAUGUCUGCCUGCCUUGAUUCCAGAGGCUGUCCCAGGAUCCUUCUCAUAACCAUCACUUACCUAUCCCGAUACAAGCUGGUAUUUUGGCAACUAGUAAAAAAGAUCACUGGCUAACUCAUCGGUUGGGAAAAGAGCGUGCAAUACAGUGGAAGCUGCUGGACAACAAGUCUUGUCUGACCCCACACCCCCGUUGGAAAGUCCCGAGUCUCUGACAGUUUGGGUAACUCCUCACCCUUACUUUCCUUAUUUUCUUUGACAAUGUCACAGCAGGGAAAAUACUAUCAUUUUCAAUGUUUAUUAAUGUAUUCCUCACACAAUUUUAAUGAUUAUUAAUAGAACUAUGAGUUAAUACACUUGAUUAAUGUGAUUGUUUCUGCUUUUAUUUGUAAGGCCUUUUAAAUAAUAAGAAUAUCCCAAAUUGCAAAAAAAAAAAAAA